AUUUAAAUCACCAGUUUGAACUAUGUCUUUAUUUGCAGAAAGCGCAAGGUGAAUUGAAUGAUAAAAAUUAUUAAAAGUUCGUUUUGAACUAUUUUGGGGUAUGUAAAAUGUUCAACAUGUUCAACAUGAAAAUGGUUUAUUUUUAGUAGUGGUAAUUUAUUUCUAACCAAACACAUUCAGGGGCGGAUGCAGGAAUUUUCGAAAGGGGGGGGGGGUGCUACCCAGGGCAAAAAGGGGGGGGGGGUGCAAAACAUAUGUCCCGAUACAAAUGCAUUGAUCGGCAAAAAUAAAGGGGGGUGUGGCACCCCCGGAACCCCCCCCCCCUGGAUCCGCCACUGCACAUUUGAAGCGACCGGAUUGCAAGUCGGUACAUGGACGCAGAUACUAUUUUCUUUUAUAUAGUACGCUUAAUUAACUAUUAUCCUUGUGCUAUACGCUUCCAUGCAACCGCCGACGCGAUUAGUUCUAUUAUUACGAAACAUGUUUUAUGAUGCUAUUGAAAUGUCGGUAUCAUUUACAAAUGGAUUAAGCCAGCUCUCAGUAAAUUACACCAAAUUGUCUAAAUGGUCAUUUUCGAUAGACAGAGGCUACGACCCAGUCCCUUCUUUAAUAAUGUGGUCAUUUUUAUAAAUUUACCAUUUACAAAAGUUUGAAUUUUUCGAAAAACUAAGGAUUUUCUUAUCCCAGGCAUAGAUUACCUUAGCCGUAUUUGGCACAACUUUUUGGAAUUUUGGAUUCUCAAUGCUCUUUCAACUUUGUACUUGUUUGGCUUUAUAAAUAUUUUGAUAAUGAGCGUCACUGAUGAGUCUUAUGUAGACGAAACGCGCGUCUGGCGUACUAAAUUAUAAUCCUGGUACCUUUGAUAACUACUUUACCCUUGAAAUCUGCUCAUUGUGAAGACAAGGGGAUUGGAUCGUAACCCCGUGGAUGGCGAAGAUGCAAAACUUUUCACCUCAUUGGUCACAUUAAUAACUAUCUGUGUCAGAAACCUAUAUAUAUGAUGUUUCAAAUAUUCAAUCCUAAUCCAAAUUCAGAGCUAUAUCAAGCUGGAAUGUAGUGUCCAUACUUCCUUUAACUAUUCAGGGUUUGAUCAAUGCAAUCAUAUCUAAAUACGCACUGAUUUUGAGCAUUUUAUUGAAAUAUUGCGUAUUGAAUAAAAAUAUAGCUAGCUGGAGAUUGACAAGAAAAUAAAUUGCGUACACAUUUUUGUUGUUGUUAAAAUCAUAUUAUUUUAUGUUCAAUAUCUAUAGACGGUGAAGACAUGGAAGCAACGUCAUCAAAUUUACCACUACACAGCGAGAAACAGCAUGGAAUUAAAAAGGUAAAACUUUGAACUUUAAUUUGUAUUUAAUGUAGAAGGUAAUCUUGAUAUUUAGAUCUUCUCGAUGCUCGUCCAAGAUUAACUUGUGUUUGAGUUCAUUUGCCGUGGCAAAAAUUACAUAUACAGUCUAUAAUGAAAAAGUUCGAAUCUAUAGAUUGAUUUAAAUUACAUGGUUGAGGUCAUUAUCUAGCUGACUGCCCUCUAAAACUACCAAAUAUUAUUAUUUAUUCCAGAAGCUUUACAAAUUGAUAAAGAUUGUCCUUGGAGGUGUCGUACUGGUAUUGGCAUGUUAUAUAGCUUAUUCCAUUUCUCAAACAAAGUAAGUACUAAGAGCAAGGAUAUCACGCCACCUAAAUGACACUUUAAUUUAAGAUGCGUGUUUGAAGGUCAACAACAAUAAUCAAUAGAACAAAGUAAUAGUGUCUUCAUAGUUGUUCUUAUAUAAUAACAACUGCUUGAAGGUCUUUAGAAGGAACUAAAAAAAUAUUUGUAACAAUCAGAUAUAUAAAGAUGCUCCAUAGUGUGGACCUUUAAGGAAGUGAAACUUGUAAUGGGAGAAAUCUUCUUGAGUGAUAAUGAACUUUGAACGUCCUGUGUUACUUCGUUUCUCUGCUUUUCUGACCCUAAUAUCAAUGUGAAUCAGAAUCGAAACAUAACUUCAAAUCCUGUCACUAAAAAAUUGACCGAAUGACAUAUUGUAAAAUUUUGUAAUUCAUUAACAGUUAAAGUAAAAAACACAGGCUUAGAAAAUCAUUUGUUUUUUCUCCAAUUAGGGCAGAUACAUCAUUGUUGUUCAUUCUGCAUAUUGGAGUCAUGGUCUUUUUUAUAAAAUUUGUCAUGGCAUUUAAUUACUUUUUGGGAUCAUGAUUUUGAGGAGACAUAUGCCAAAGUACAUGUAAUGUUUCGAUGUAAUGCUUCUGUUCUUUUUUUUGUUUAUCCUGACACGUUUCCUGGUCUUCAUUUGUAGUGAAAUAAAGAAAAAUGAUGAAAAACAAACACUCAUUGCAAGUGAGUCAGAAAAGCUGCUAGCCAGUUCAGUUAAAAACAUGGACUUAAAUGUCGGUAAGUUCAUAUAUAGUGUUUAGUUUCUAGAAUGAUGUUUUGCCAAACAAUAAUUCCAUUCCUAUCUGUAACGAUUAGAGCAUUUCCGGUUAUCACCAGUUUGAUUGCAAUUUUCUUAACUCUAUAUGUUUGUCUUUCUCACACAUUGUUGUCAUACUUAGCUAGCUUUAAAUCCUGUCAAUCUUCAAUUUUCUACAUACGAAAAUGCCUGUACCGCAUCAAGAAUAUGGCAUUUUUUCUGUUCGUUUGAUGUGUUUGAGCUUGAUUUUUCCGUUUGAUGAAGGACAUUCCUUUUGAAUUUUCCUUUCAUUGCAGUCCUAUGCCAUGUUAUAUUUGGUUUUGACCUCUCUUGUCCAUCGUGUAGCUAGAUGUCUCUAGUUUAAUACAGAACGCAUGUUGAAGUAUGUCUUUGUUUAUGAUAAGACGUGGAAAUAUUUGUUUUGAUGUGUUAAAGAUAUAAAUGAAGGCAGAUACAUUUAUAUCAUAUUUUGUGACUCUGUUUUGGAUUUUUUUUGUCCUCAAUGCUCUUCAACUUCGUAUUUUAUCGGGCCUUUUUACAUUUUUUGAUUCGAGCGUCACUGAUGAGAUGAAACGAUCGUAUGGCGCAAAUAUAAAAUUUCAAUCCUGGUAUCUAUGAUGAUAUAAAAAAAGAAGAUGUGGUAUGAUUGCCAAUGAAACAAAUCUCCACAAGAGACCAAAUGACACAGAAAUUAACAAUUAUAGGUCACCAUACGGCCUUCAGCAAUGAGCAAAACCAAUACCGCAUAGUCAGCAAUAAAAGGGCCCGAAUUGACAAAUAUUAAACAAUUCAAACGAAAAAAAUAACGACAUAAUUCAUGUACAGAAAAUGAACGAAAAACAAAUAUGAAACACAUCAACAAACUACAACCACUGAAUUACAGGCUCCUGACAUGGGACAGACACAAACAUCCAGAAUGUGGCGGCGUUAAACAUGAGUUCAUUUACAUACAAGAUUUUUACAAAUACUAGAAUAUGCUCAUUCCGCACCUUCAUAUUUUCAUAUCAGGUGCUUUGGAUAAAUCUUGCGUGGAACAGAAUACAGCAAAUACUUGCCAUUACCUUCAUAUUUUUAGCUCACUUUAAUUUCUAUAUUUUCUCAUCACUUGGCGUCCGUCGUCCGUCGUCGUCGCCCGUUAGCUAUUAGAAAAAUCUUCUCUUCUGAAACUACUGGACCAAAUGAAACCUAACUUGGCCUAAAUCAUCCUUAGGAUUUUUAGUUCAAAAUAAAAAAUAUAACCGAAUACCCCGCCCAUCAACCAAUAUGGCCAUUUAAAAAACAGAACAUGGGAUAAAAUUCAGUUUUUGGCUCAUAACUCUCAAACUAAAGCAUUUUAAACAAAUUUGACCGGUAUGAAACAGUUCAUCAGGUCAAGACCUAUCUGCCCUAAAAUUAUCAGAUGCAUCUGACAACCUGUUGAUAGGGUUGCUGUCUUAGAAUUGGUAAUUUGAAGGAAAUUUUGCACUUUUUGGUUAUUAUCUUGAAUAUUAUUAUAGAUAGAGAUAAACUGUAAACAGCAAAAUUGUUCAGCAAAGUAAGAUCUACAAAUAAGUCAAUUGACCCCAGUAGGAGUUAUUGUCCUCCGUAGAAAUUUUUGACAAUUUUUUUGUAAUUCUUUCAUGAUAAUUUUUUACAAAAAAAUCUUCUCCUCUGAAACAAAUAGGACGAAUUUAAUCAAACUUGGCCACCAUCAUUAUUAAGGUAUCUAGCUAAAAAAUGUCAGAUAACGCUGUCUACCAAACAAUUGGUCUGACAUCACUAAAAGUAGAACAUAGGGGUAAAAAGCAAGUUUUGUCUAUUAUUUUUUUAACCGUUAUAGAUAGAGAAAAUCUGAAAGGAAAAAAUAUGCUCAGAAAAAUGAGCUCUACCAACUGUCCAUAUAUACGUUAAAAUUGUUAGACAAAUUCUUAUAGGAGUUAUUGCCCAUAAUGUAAAAUUUUACGAUAUUUUUUUUUUCAUUUUUGCCGUUUAUCAUUAAAUCUAUGAUAUUUAGAAAGAAACAUUUUUCUUCUAUUAUGCCUCAUAAUGAUAGAUAAAAACACUCUAAAUCACAAAAAUGAUCAGCAAGGCAAGAUCUAUUAAGGAUGUUAGCUACUCUGAUAAAAAAUAACAAGCUUUUUAAAAGACUAUUAUGAAUUGAUAGGAUAUAAAUAAUGAAACUAACAAAGUCGAAAAAAAUGGAGGGUCCAUGUGCUUGUUUUAGAGAUAUAAGCCAUUGAAAAUUUGGCGGGAAAUUAUUCUCUCUAGAUUUUUCAUAUAUUUAACAUUGACAUCUUUUUUGUUUCUAACACUAUGAAAAAAUAACAAGAAUUUUAUAAAAUUUUGAAAUAUGGCUUUUUAAACUUUAUGUAAUAAAAUUAUCGAAAGAAAAUUAGGGGUUAAUGGGCAAAAUUUUUUAAUGACUAUACAUGGAUAAAACCUGAGGAUUCCGAAAAUCUGGCAAAAAGUCAAAAAAUGGAGGAGCAAACAUCCCUAAUAAGUCAAAGAAUCUAAAAAGACUAAAAGAUCAGUAAUACAAGAGCAACAAAACAGAAAAUUUUGUCAUGGUCUACAAUGUUGGUGUGCUUUGUGUGAUAUGUCCAUAUACCAAGGUGAGUGACACAGGUUCUUUAGAGCCUCUAGUUUUUAUUUUAAUAUCAAAGAAUUAUUUAACUAUACUUAUGUAGUACCUGCUUGUCGAAAACUAAUUUCUGGUGUUACUAGGUGGAGGGUAAUGACUUGUUAUUGUAAAAGGUUUAUCUUUUGGAUUUAAAUAGCUUCAUUGAACUUCAUGCCAUUGUGAUAUUUGGGCACUUUUUUCUUUGAAAAGGAUCGAUUCUUAUUAAGCAUACUACCAUAUCUUUCAGUUAUGAGGAAUGAAGAUCGCUUACAGAAAUGUCAGGGAACUCAAUUCAAACGGACAUUUCCCGAUGUGGACUAUGCUUUCUUUGGAUAUAACAUUUUAAAAGGAUAUCCACUCAAUAUAGGACAUGACCCAGGAUUCACUUUGCCAAUUUUUAAAGCAGAUUAUAGUGAAGGCCUCCAAACUUCAGAUUGUAGGUACUUUAUUCCCAGAGGAUUGGUUAUCGUUCCGGAUGUUUCCUGUAUAACGGACUUUACUUCUAAAACGAUACAAACAAGAUAUGAAUUCAUAGAAUCGUUGUCAAUCUCCGCAAACGUAAAAGCAAGUCCACCGACAAAAUCGUCAGGUGGCAAAAAAUCAAAAAAAUUUAGUGGAGAAUUUAAAGCUAGUGGUGGGUAUCAGGAUUCAUCAAAUGAAUUAUCGAACAGUAAGUCAGUUUACAUACUUUCUACUGCUGAAUGUAAUUACUAUUUCAGUAAACUUAUGACGGAUAAUGCUCCUCCGUUUUCCGACUCUUUCUUAAGAUGGAUACGUAAGCUUGCAGCAACCGACGAGCAACAAAUGUAUUUUAAUUUUUUCGAAACUUACGGGACUCAUUUUCAAAUUUAUACUACGUUUGGCGCGAGAUAUACAUUCGAACAUAAAAUGAAAACUAAAACAUUUAUUUCUGAAAAGCGUAAAGGGUUUAAUUUCGGCAUAUUUGGUGAGAUCUUUUCCAAGAUUAAUGUCGGCUUAGGAUUUAAUAUUGCAAAAGAAGAAAGAGAAAAAGUCGAAAAGAUUUCAAAAGAUAUUGAAACGAAAACCAUUACCGUAGGUGCUCCACCUCCAGCAAACGGCGAUGCAACAACCUGGGCAUCCAACGUCAAAGAGAGCCCAGUCCCUAUGAAGUAUGAACUAGAGUCAAUUGACAACUUAUUCACUGAAACCUAUAUGGCAGGUUUAAAUGUAAACUACCAAAGAAUAUCGUUAAACAUUGAAAAGAAUAAAGCCGAAUACUGUGAAUAUCUCAAAGAUCUUGGGCAGCUAGAUUCAUGUGAGAUACCACCUCCAGGUUUAGUUUUGAAGAAAACAAGACUAUUCGCACACUUUAAGGAACAGAAAGUCUCAACAAAUCGUCAGUGCAUCGACACGUGUCUUCAGCUGAGUGACUGUGAAGCUAUAACAAUAUGUCCGUUGUGUGUCACUGCUGACCUGGUCUGUCAUAUGUUUAAUAACGUCUUUAAGAAUGACUCUGACACGUCGUAUAGAAUAAGAGCUGAGACUGAUAAAACAGAUAAAGAAUGGGAAACAAUGAUGUUCAUAUCAAAAAUCAAUAGUAGGAUGAUAAUGAUAAGCACAACUGUUGUGGGCGCUCAGCGGUCAUCGGAUACGGACACAAAAAAUAUAAAUACCCCAGACGGAUGUUAUAGGUUAUGUUUUAAUGAUGAGCACUGUGUUGCAUAUACCUUCCAUCAUGGGAUAGAGAAUAAAGUAACAAAAUGUCGCUUUUUUUCAGAGACUGGAAUAACAGGAUUGACUAAAGAAAUCGGAACUGACACUUAUUUUAUACCUUACGGUCAUCCAUAAAGAAUAUAGUUUCUCGAUAAUCGCCUUUCGCUGUGGAGGGAUAUAGUUUCUCGAUAAUCCCCCUUUAUUGUUGAUUGAAAUACAUGUAGUAAUCAUCGAAUAAGACCAGACCAUGACAAUUGAAGUCUAUUGUGUACCUUACAAGAAUCUUCAAUAUUACUCAUGAUAUGAAACAAGCGCUUAUUAUUCAUUAAUUCUCCCAAUACAGGAAACAAACAAAAAUCAUGCAUCCAUAGAAUUUCAUAAAUUUACAGACCUAAUAGUUUAAGU
rnacentral:lncRNA from 1 species